CGUUUCUGCACAGAGCUACCAGCCCGGGCAGACACUGAGGACCCUCCUCGCGCACUGGAGCUGUGGCCUCGGCAGCUGUGGGAAUGCGGACAGGAAGCAGGGGACCCUGGAGGCGAGAGGAGGAGGACAUCCUGCGGGGAUAGAUAAAAAAUAACGGCCGGGCUGUGGGAACCUCUUCCGAGCAAACAUGUGAGCCCAGGAAUUUCCUGAGCCAGAGAUCUGACUCCGGUUAUUUGUUGUAACUGAUUAUUUGUUUUCCUGGAGAUUUUGCAUAAUUUUGACAAAGGGAAAGAAGAUAUAAAGCCAAGACAUGCAUGACUGCCCUUCUGAAGCCUCUGCUCACAGAGCAGAGGGAUAGGAGGCUGUGAUUCAGAUUAUGGGGCCUGCAGGCUGGGGAGGGCGACCCUGCAGGGGCCCAGGAGCAGGCAGAGUGUGCCCCACAGACCCCUCCCUGGGGCAGAGGGACAGCAGAUUACUGGGCCCGAGACGCAUUAGGUGGCACAUGCUGGUUCCCUCUGUCCAGCGAGCCUCUCCCCCAGCAUCAUCCAGCCCUGGGCCUCCAGCAGGCAGAGGAGAUCAUGACCAGGAAGCAAUUCAUCACCAUCCAAGGCCUUAGCAGACUCUGGCUUUCCUUUGAAUUUCCAAGAAAACUGCUCCAUAAUUUUUAUCAAGACUUAUCAUUUGCCCAUCUCACCCUACACACUAGAAUUUUAAGCGAUGAAGUACAUGUGGAGACUUACUUUGUAGUCUUUUAAGAUAAUGACCAAAUGAACAUUUCUGGCCUCACUCAGCAUCUGCUCUGACACGGGUUUAAGGGGCUGCCGCGGCCAGGAAGAGGGUCAAAUAUGCUGGGCCACCCCCUCUGAGGCCGCAGCUGCAUCUCAGGUUUGCAUUCUCACCACGGCCGUUCUACUGAUGGGAGCUUCAUUUCUAUUUGCUCGAGGUAUUACACCUAUUUUAUUUUUCUUUAAUGAAAUCCUCCUCACUUCCAUCACCUCAGUGCACCCCUCUCUUCAGAGCUUUCCUUCUCUCCCCUCCUCCCUCCCCAUCUUUCUUCCUUCCUGUCCCCAAAGACCAGGCCAUGGUGCCCUCGAAGGACACAACAGAGCCCCAUGUGGACUGGGAAGCUGGCCCUGGCCCAGGGCCCCUCCAGCACAGCCUUUCCCCAACUGGCCUUAGGCAAGUGCCCUGCAGUGUCUAUCUGCAGCCAUCUCUGCCUCAUGUGUUUACAAAUUCACCUUCUGCUGUGGAUCCCUGUCAACCGCAGGUCCGCCCAACACAUUUCGCCCUGGAUCUCACUGGGUGGACGUGAACAUCCACCUGCACGACAGUAAAGGAAAAAGGACAAGAUGGAGUUGUGGGGGCAGGGGGUGGUUCUUCCCAUAAAAACACAGAAGCAUCACAAGAAUAAUAUUUGUUAAAAGCCUCCAGGAUUUGGUGCCGAACAUCUCUCAAGGCAUCUCCUGAUUUCCCAGAGCUGAUGGAAAUAUUCUGAAGGUAUUAAUAGAAUGCAGAUGUUGGAGAAUGCGACUUAGAAUCCUACUGAACAAAUGACCCUGUUGGGAGGCAGUUUGCAGUCUCCAGGGACAUUCCACAGAGGGCCCAGCUGAUUGUCUCAUAUUGAAACAGCAUGUCCCAGCAUUCCAGCUAGAAGAAGCGGAACAGGGCUCCUCCACCAGAUAUAAAUCACAAGGCAAAGGGCAACUGAACUCCUUCAGUCCUGCCCUCCCUCCUUCCUUGGUUCACCCUCCACCCCCUCCCCCGCUCCCGCCCCCCAAGGAAAACAAAGCUUGAGUAAGAGGCUGCCAAGCCAAGCCACGCAGGCGCCAGACGGCCGAGCGCGGCACACACGACGGCCGUUUGGGAGGCUCACAGCUUUCGGCACUGUGGCCCUGAUGUUUUUGCUUCACUGCAAUUUGUUUCUGAUCUCCAGUCAAGUCCUUACAACGCUGGGAUCCUCUAGAGAGUUUAUACUUUGACCUCGUGACAAUUAACACCAGAGGCCAAGAAAAAAAAAAAAAACUCGAUAAGAGAGAAACUCAAUUGGUGGGAGGUGGAGGG
rnacentral:lncRNA from 1 species